GCAGGCAGAGAGAGCACUGGUCUGGUGCUUAGGUUUCCGCUCCUGUUUUACUUGGACUAUGGCAACAUUGAAGCGUGAGGAGACAAGGACUCCUUUCCUUUUGGAGCACAAAAGACCACACAUGACUGAAAUUGCAGUUUGACAUGCACAGGAGAUCUGUCGGCCACAUUUUCAUGGAUAGGUGUAGAGAGAAAAGAAACCUGAAACCUCAUGACCUAUCUUCUCAACACGUUUGGCUUCCACCAACAUAACCACACACACACACACAACUUACACACCCAUACACAUAGACCUGUUUAUUGGGAUUCAGCCAUCUGGAUUUGUGCAAUAAACCUGUUGGAAGAACAUUUUGGUGUGCACAUUCUGACCGAUGUCCCUCAGCGGCCACAGCUUUAAGUUGACCUCAAGAUCUAGUUAAUGUCCAUCAGAACAGUCACCAAAAUGGAGUUCGUGGCACCAGAGCCUGUCUACGGAGGUGGCACUAA